AGGACGAGCCUGCAAUUCCAGCGCCGGCCUCCUCUGCUGCGGCUCCAUGGCUAAGUAAGUGACCUGCUGAACACAGAAGCACUGGAAGAAGCGUGUGCACAGGCCCCUGAACUCAGGAGGGAAACAGGCAUCAGAGACACAUAGCAGCAUCGACCUGGCCAUACCCAGAGACCAGGUUCUUGUGGCCACUCUCCUUUCCAACGGCUGGGCAUUCCCGGGCUGGCCCAGGGCAAGACUUCCCAAAGCCUGCUUCAGGGAGCUGGCCCAUCUCCCAGGCCGAUUCUGCAGGAUAGGAAAUGCGUAACCGACGGAAAACGCGCCUGGAAAACCAAGGGAUCAAAACAACAAGGGGUGUGGGGCUGCAUAGAAAAUUGGAGCCACAGAAACCAGGAAGGGCGCCUUUCAGG
rnacentral:lncRNA from 1 species